UCGCUCCCUCUUUUUUCCUCUCUCUUCCCGUCUUUCUCCGCCUCUCUCCGUCCUCACUUUCUCCGUUUAUUCCUCUCCCUCAACGUCGACGGCCUAUCCACAACAUCGUCGCCGGCCUUCUUUUUCCCUCGAGUUGCCGGCCAGAUCCACGAUGCCAUCACCACGGAGGUCCUCCUAGAGGGCAAAGACAUGGAGGAGGCGGUGGUAUUCGGAGGCGAGCAGCUUGAGGCGGAGAGAGUGGUCGGAGACAGGGAGGCCGAGCGAGCCACGGAUGGAUUCGCGUCGCUCACCAUCUCCUCCUCUCCAUCUCGCCUCCCUCCCGCGAUCCGGCACCGAUGGCGGCGUCGGCGGCGGCCGCGGGUGGAUCCGGCAGCGGUGGCAGCGGAUGAGGAUGGAUCCGGCGGCGGCUCCCUCUGCCCCCUCUCGCCUCCCUCCCACGGCGGAUCUGACGACGGGGACGGCAACCGCCUGUGGAUCUGGCGGCAGCGGCGCCGGCUGAGAGUGGAUCGGGUGGCAGCAGCUCCUCCCGCGGCGGAUUCGAGGGCCGCGGCUCCUCUCACAGUUAUCCGAUGGCUGCUGCUCCCCCUCCCCGGAGUGGCGGCCGGCGGCUGCUUCCCUCCUUGUGUGUUGGCAGCAACUCCCCGCCCCCCUGGCUGCCCCUCACCUCCCCGACGUGGAGCCGACGGUGGUUCGAUUUUUGAUUUGUGA
rnacentral:lncRNA from 1 species